UACGAGGGGGGCGAGCGUUGUUCGGAUUUAUUGGGUUUAAAGGGUGCGUAGGCGGGAUAGUAAGUCAGAGGUGAAAUCCCACAGCUUAACUGUGGAACUGCCUUUGAUACUGCUAACCUUGAGUACAGAUGAUGUGGGCGGAAUAUGACAUGUAGCGGUGAAAUGCUUAGAUAUGUCAUAGAACACCGAUUGCGAAGGCAGCUCACAAAACUGUAACUGACGCUGAGGCACGAAAGCAUGGGGAUCGAACAGG
rnacentral:rRNA from 1 species